rnacentral:rRNA from 1 species
AGGCAUGCAAGUCGAACGAGGAUAUAUCCUUCGGGAUAUAAGCCGAGUGGCGCAAGGGUGAGUAAUGCAUAGAUUACCUGCCUCUAGGAUAAGGACAACUUUGUGAAAACGAAGCUAAUACUUAAUAAUACAAGAGGGAAUAAUUUUCUUUUGUCAAUGGGAGGGUAGCAAUACCUUUUGCCUGGAGAGGGGUUUAUGUCCUAUCAGCUUAUUGGUGGGGUAAUGGCCUACCAAGGCGAAGACGGGUAGCCGGUCUUAGAGGAUGGUCGGCCACACUGGGACUGAGACACUGCCCAGACUUCUACGGAAGGCUGCAGUCGAGAAUCUUUCGCAAUGCCCGAAAGGGUGACGAAGCGACGCCGCGUGAGUGAGGAAGGCCCUCGGGUUGUAAAGCUCUGUCAGGAGUUAAGAAAUGUAAGUGUGCUAAUACCACAUUUACUUGACGAAAGCUCCAAAGGAAGCCACGGCUAACUCUGUGCCAGCAGCCGCGGUAAUACAGAGGUGGCAAGCGUUGUUCGGAAUUAUUGGGCGUAAAGAGCACGUAGGUGGGUUUGUAAGUCAGAUGUGAAAGCCUUCUGUUCAACGGAAGAAUUGCAUCUGAAACUACAAGUCUUGAGUGUAGGAGGGGAGAAUGGAACUUCUGGUGGAGCGGUGAAAUGCGUAGAUAUCAGAAG